UACGAAGGGGGCUAGCGUUGCUCGGAAUCACUGGGCGUAAAGCGCACGUAGGCGGAUUUGUAAGUCAGGGGUGAAAUCCUGGAGCUCAACUCCAGAACUGCCUUUGAUACUGGCGAUCUUGAGUCCGGGAGAGGUGAGUGGAACUGCGAGUGUAGAGGUGAAAUUCGUAGAUAUUCGCAAGAACACCAGUGGCGAAGGCGGCUCACUGGCCCGGUACUGACGCUGAGGUGCGAAAGCGUGGGGAGCAAACAGG
rnacentral:rRNA from 1 species